rnacentral:rRNA from 1 species
UACGAAGGGGGCUAGCGUUGUUCGGAAUUACUGGGCGUAAAGCGCACGUAGGCGGAUACUUAAGUCAGGGGUGAAAUCCCGGGGCUCAACCCCGGAACUGCCUUUGAUACUGGGUAUCUCGAGUCCGGAAGAGGUGAGUGGAAUUCCGAGUGUAGAGGUGAAAUUCGUAGAUAUUCGGAAGAACACCAGUGGCGAAGGCGGCUCACUGGUCCGGUACUGACGCUGAGGUGCGAAAGCGUGGGAGCAACAGGA